GACGAACGCUGGCGGCGUGCUUAACACAUGCAAGUCGAACGGAAAGGCCCUGCUUUUGUGGGGUGCUCGAGUGGCGAACGGGUGAGUAACACGUGAGUAACCUGCCCUUGACCUUGGGAUAACUUCAGGAAACUGGGGCUAAUACCGGAUAGGAGCUCCUGCUGCAUGGUGGGGGUUGGAAAGUUUCGGCGGUUGGGGAUGGACUCGCGGCUUAUCAGCUUGUUGGUGGGGUAGUGGCUUACCAAGGCUUUGACGGGUAGCCGACCUGAGAGGGUGACCGGCCACAUUGGGACUGAGAUACGGCCCAGACUCCUACGGGAGGCAGCAGUGGGGAAUAUUGCACAAUGGGCGGAAGCCUGAUGCAGCAACGCCGCGUGCGGGAUGACGGCCUUCGGGUUGUAAACCGCUUUCGCCUGUGACGAAGCGUGAGUGACGGUAAUGGGUAAAGAAGCACCGGCUAACUACGUG
rnacentral:rRNA from 1 species